UAAUGGCCUCCAUUUUAGCUCGAAAUCAUCGACAGUCUCCUUUACAUUGUUAAAUGCAUCGUGACUAUGUCUUUCAUCAUUUUCAUAAUCCCAGAAUAGAUGUAUUCUAAGUUUCCUUUCUGUGUUAGGUUUCGAGACUCUCGUCUUCAUACGUCGGAUCUUACUCGUGCCGUGUGUGCAUAUUCUUAUACUAGAAUAGAUGAUGAUGCAGGUACAGUAGUGCCACUACAUGGUGAUUCAACCUCGGCGGGACCUGACUAUGGCAUAGGUGACUGGUGGAUGUCAGAAGCCAAAGAGCAUGAUCAGGAUUGUGCCUGUGACUACUGUGCAUACACGGCACCAUGAGAUGCACAGCGUAUUUUUGAUAUUCUGAUACUGACCUGGUGAUUUUAUAUUUUAGGCUUAUUAUGUAUAAGUCUUAAAUUUUGUAAUGGGAUAACUUGGUUAUGUUUAUAUGAUAUCACUAGAUGAUCCCCAUUUUAAUUAUGAUUCCGCGAUUAUACACU